rnacentral:rRNA from 1 species
CCUACGGGAGGCAGCAGUGAGGAAUAUUGGUCAAUGGACGCAAGUCUGAACCAGCCAUGCCGCGUGCAGGAUGACGGCCCUAUGAGUUGUAAGCUGCUUUUGUACGAGGGUAAACCCCGAUACUUGUAUCGGGAUGAAAGUAUCGUACGAAUAAGGAUCGGCUAACUCCGUGCCAGCAGCCGCGGUAAUACGGAGGAUCCGAGCGUUAUCCGGAUUUAUUGGGUUUAAAGGGUGCGUAGGCGGUUUGAUAAGUUAGAGGUGAAAUGUCUGGGCUCAACACCGAAACUGCCUCUAAUACUGUUGGACUAGAGAAUAGUAGAGGUAGGCGGAAUGCAUGGUGUAGCGGUGAAAUGCGUAGAGAUCAUACAGAACACCGAUUGCGAAGGCAGCUUACCAAACUAUAUCUGACGUUGAGGCACGAAAGCGUGGGGAGCAAACAGGAUUAGAUACCCGAGUAGUC